UCCCGCGUAAUUUAAGCAUAUUAAUAAGCGGAGGAAAAGAAACUAACUAGGAUUCCCUUAGUAGCUGCGAGCGAACAGGGACGAGCCCAGCACUGAAUCCUGCGCGCGUUGUGCGCGUCUGGAAAUGUAGUGUUCGGGAGGAUCCGAUCAUCUUGCGCGAGUGCACCAGUCAAAGUCCAUCUUGAAAGUGGCCACAACCCGUAGAGGGUGCCAGGCCCGUCGGACGGUGUCCAUCUCGCGCGAAAGGAUCUCUCCCCAGAGUCGGGUUGCUUGAGAGUGCAGCUCUAAGUGGGUGGUAAACUCCAUCUAAGGCUAAAUACGACCACAAGACCGAUAGCGAACAAGUACCGUGAGGGAAAGUUGAAAAGAACUUUGAAGAGAGAGUUCAAGAGUACGUGAAACCGUUCGGGGGUAAACGGACGAAAGCUGGAAAAUCGAACCGGGAGAUUCAGGCUCGCUGGUAGGCGUCGAGGGGAGCCGGCCGAUGCGGCAUCGGCGCAGGGCGGCACCGCAAGGUCCGCCGAUCGCGUUCGGUGUUGUCACGGUUAUGCGCUCUUUUUCGCGUCGCCGACGGGUGGCACUUCUCCCGUUGUAGUACGUCGCGACCCGUUGGUCGCUGGUCUCAGGCCCGUCAGGGAGCCGUUCGUUGUGCGAGCUGCGCGCGCCCUCGGGCACGCGUCGUCUCGUCGCGGACGACCGUGCGGUGUCCUGGCCAGCCCGGCCGACGGUCACAUAAGCGAUUCGAACAGAACCGUCUCCGGUCGCGGCCCUAAUCGUCCGCGGCCGGCAGGUGGCGGACCACUCGUCGUGGUCACGUAUCGCGUCAGCGACGCUCUAUCCAGAGCAUCGCCCGACCCGUCUUGAAACACGGACCAAGGAGUCUAACAUGUGCGCGAGUCAUUGGGACCGUACUAAACCCAGAGGCGCAAUGAAAGUGAAUGCCGCGCGCGCAAGCGCGCGUGCAAAGGGGAGAUGCCCGUCGUCCGAGCGGCGCGCGGGUCGCAUCCCCGGGGCGUCUCGUUGCGGUGUCGUUCCUCGCGAGCGGCACCCGGCAGGCGCACCCAGAGCGUACACGUUGGGACCCGAAAGAUGGUGAACUAUGCCUGGUCAGGUCGAAGUCAGGGGAAACCCUGAUGGAGGACCGUAGCGAUUCUGACGUGCAAAUCGAUCGUCAGAACUGGGUAUAGGGGCGAAAGACUAAUCGAACCAUCUAGUAGCUGGUUCCCUCCGAAGUUUCCCUCAGGAUAGCUGGCACUCGGAGUUGGCGCGUCGGCGGGCAGCAAUGCCCGUGCGGACGCGCGGUACCAGUCUCAUCUGGUAAAGCGAAUGAUUAGAGGCCUUGGGGCCGAAACGGACUCAACCUAUUCUCAAACUUUAAAUGGGUGAGACAUUCGACUUGCUUGAUUGCUCUUAUAUAGUCGUUGAAGUCGAACCACCUCGGGAUGAACGAGUGCCAAGUGGGCCAAUUUUGGUAAGCAGAACUGGUGCUGUGGGAUGAACCAAACGUCGAGUUAAGGCGCCUAAAACGAUGCUCAUGGGAUACCAUGAAAGGCGUUGGUUGCUCAAGACAGCAGGACGGUGGCCAUGGAAGUUGGAAUCCGCUAAGGAGUGUGUAACAACUCACCUGCCGAAGCAACCAGCCCUGAAAAUGGAUGGCGCUCAAGCAUCGUGCCUAUACUCGACCGUCGCCGGCAAUUAGCGUCGUCCGUCGCGAGGCGGGCGCCGUCGAGAAGCCGCGACGAGUAGGAGGGUCGCGACGGUGAGCGCAGAAGUGCCGGUCGCGAGACCGCAUGGAGCCGCCGUCGGUGCAGAUCUUGGUGGUAGUAGCAAAUACACUAGCGGGGCCCUGGUGGACUGAUGUGGAGAAGGGUUUCGUGUGAACAGCGGUUGCACACGAGUCAGUCGAUCCUAAGCCCCAGGAGAAGUCUGAUGUUGAUGGUUGUCGUUGUAUGAUUUGUGAUCGACACUAGCAAAUCGACACCAUCGGGCGAAAGGGAAUCCGGUUCGUAUUCCGGAACCCGGCCGCGGAACCGAGCAUGCGGGCCAACCCUGUCGCAAGACGGGACUCGUCGGGGCGACCCAAAAGGACCCGGAGACGCCGUCGGAUGAUCGGGGCAGAGUUUUCUGUUCUGUAUGAGCGUUCGAGUUCCCUGGAAUCGCAUAGCGCGGAGAUAGGGUUUGGAACGCGAAGAGCACCGCACUCGCGGCGGUGUCCCGGUCUAUCCCUCGGACCUUGAAAAUCCGGGAGAGGGCCACGUGGAGGUGUCGCGCCGGUUCGUACCCAUAUCCGCAGCAGGUCUCCAAGGUGAGGAGCCUCUAGUCGAUAGAAU
rnacentral:rRNA from 1 species